rnacentral:rRNA from 1 species
UACGAAGGGGGCUAGCGUUGCUCGGAAUUACUGGGCGUAAAGGGCGCGUAGGCGGAUGUCUAAGUUGGGGGUGAAAUCCCGGGGCUCAACCUCGGAAUUGCCUUCAAAACUGGAUAUCUUGGAGUUCGGGAGAGGUGAGUGGAACUCCGAGUGUAGAGGUGAAAUUCGUAGAUAUUCGGAAGAACACCAGUGGCGAAGGCGACUCACUGGCCCGAUACUGACGCUGAGGCGCGAAAGCGUGGGGAGCAAACAGGG